rnacentral:tRNA from 1 species
UGCCGGGUCGUUCAACGGCAGGACGCGGGUCUUUGGAGCCCGCUAUGAGCGUUCGAAUCGCUCCCCGGCAGCCA